AUGAGGCCACUAAGAGAUAUUGCUGCGGAAGUUGGAGGGGGCAAUCCGACCCAAAAACAAAGCCUGCAGGCUGUCGAAGGGCUCUGGAACGAAUGGGAGAUCCAUUGCCUCAUACUUGCAAGCUUUGGUCUACAAGUAUUCCUCUUCUUCACAGCAGGCAUGCGGAGGCACAGCGUGUCCCGCAUCCUCAACUCCCUUAUAUGGCUGGCCUACUUAUCAGCUGACUUUGUGGCCAUUUUUAUUCUUGGACAUCUCGCGGUCCAUGCAAGCAGCUCACACCAUCUUCUUAUCUUCUGGGCACCGUUCCUACUCCUCCACCUGGGAGGGCAGGACACAAUCACUGCCUUCUCCAUGCAAGACAACGAGCUCUGGCGGCGCCACCUACUAGGAUUGGUCACCCAAGCAUUAACAGCCUGCUAUGUCAUCUCCAUAUCAUCUUGGCAAGACAGCCGAUUACUAGCUGCCACGGUGCUCAUGUUCUUGUCUGGGGUUUUCAAGUACAUUGGGCGUACCCUUUGCCUUUUCGCAUCUAGCCCAGAUUUCCUCGGAUUUAAUAGCGCGCUUGAUUUUAAGGAUUAUGUACGCGGUGGUAGUUCGGGGAGGGAAUCUUCUGAGGAUAUACUAAAGCAAAGAGUACAUGAUAUGAUGCUUAAUGACGACAAUGUGAAGCUGCCGCCCCCUCCCACCUAUAUCUCAGAUAUACUGCUGGAUAGCCCACUCAAUGAUAGGGAUACUAUUGAAGGUGCAGAUAUCAUACCAGAGUUGCUCAAUGUGCUCAAGUCUAGUGCAGACCGCUCCAGGGCUUACGUUUAUGUCAGCGCACUGCUUGUUCGUGAGUAUGAACUCGUCUACACCAAGUUCAGGCUUCAUUCUUUGUGGAUGGACUGUUCCAGAAUAAUGUUCCGAGAUCCAUCUGAUGUUGGAAAAGUGCUAAUAAGCACGGUAGUUUCUCUCAUUUUAUCAUUUCUCGUGCUCUUCCCACUUAUUUCGGCCUUGAUAACAUUGGAGCUCUUCAUGGUCGUCGCCAAGGCCCAACUCUACAACCAGACAGAUGUCACAGUCUCCUACAUAUUACUCAUAGGGGCCAUACUCCUCGAGUUGGCAUCUCUCUUCAUGUCCAUUCUUUCCUACUUCGCAUCGAGUGAUGCACCUAAAUCUUGUACACCACCUCGUGUAGUCCUGCGUGCAGCCAACUAUAUUCACCCUGCAGGCCGACAUAGAAAACAGUGGUCCAAAAUGCUUGCACAAUAUAGCAUGAUGACUGACAAGCAUAAGACAUUUUCAAGAAUCGCCAUAGGUAAUGAUCUCGAGGAGCUUGUCCUUGAUAAGUUGUUAGACUUGGGAACAGGGGAGCAAGGAGGCUGGAACUUUGCUAGUUUUCGUGGACAACUAGCGCUUCAGAGGUGGACUGGUAUGCGCACGAUCAUUGACAAUGCUGACCUGCCAACAAGUGUGCUAAUUUGGCACAUUGCAACAGAGAUAUGCUACUCCGAAGAAGAAAGCAUCACUGGUCCUCAUCAAACUGAAAAGAUAAGGGUGAGCAGAGAGCUAUCAAACUAUAUGAUGUACCUUGUCUUUACGUGCGGUGUGAUGCUUACAAGAAGCUCCAAGCACGUACUUACCAAAACUCACACUGAAUUCAAGAAACUUUUUGGAGGAAAUCCUAUUCUAGUUGUUUUAGAAGCUACCAGCAUACUGCAUGAAGUUAUCAGAGAAGGGCAACAAUCAGCUGGUACGGACAAUAUUGGCAGCCAUCCGGUAAAUCAAGUGCAACUUCUGAAAAACAAUAUGAAGGCUCUUGAUUCUCGGGUGUACCCUCGUGCAUUUACAAUGUAUACUGAGUUGAAUGGCAUGCCUCGAGACGACCGUUGGGACCUCAUCACAGAGGUAUGGUUGGAGAUGCUCUUCUACAUCGCGCCUCGCUGCGGGGGUGCUUUCCAUGCUCAUCAUCUCAGUACUGGCGGUGAGUUCGUGACGCAUGUCCUCCAACUCAUGCAUUUACUAGGCCCUUUUCUACCACUGCCAGAUGCUUAG
rnacentral:rRNA from 1 species